rnacentral:miRNA from 14 species
UGUGUGUGUGUGCACACGUGCAUGCAUGUACACAUGAGACAGACAUACACAUACACACAUACCCAUA